rnacentral:rRNA from 1 species
AGAACGAACGCUGGCGGCAUGCCUAAUACAUGCAAGUCGAACGAACUCUUCGGAGUUAGUGGCGCACGGGUGCGUAACGCGUGGGAAUCUGCCCUUGGGUUCGGAAUAACAGUUGGAAACGACUGCUAAUACCGGAUGAUGACGAAAAGUCCAAAGAUUUAUCGCCCAGGGGAUGAGCCCGCGUAGGAUUAGCUAGUUGGUGAGGUAAAGGCUCACCAAGGCUACGAUCCUUAGCUGGUCUGAGAGGAUGAUCAGCCACACUGGGACUGAGACACGGCCCAGACUCCUACGGGAGGCGAGCAGUAGGGAAUAUU